GGUGAGAUGGCCGAGUGGUUAUGGCGCUGCGUUCAGGAAUUUUCUGUAUCAACUCGAUACAGAUUUGUUAACUUUGAACAAAUUUCGCAGUGGAGCAAUCCGCGUGGGUUCGAGUCCCACUCUCAUCA
rnacentral:tRNA from 1 species